rnacentral:rRNA from 1 species
AACGAACGCUGGCGGCAUGCCUAACACAUGCAAGUCGAACGAUGCUUUCGGGCAUAGUGGCGCACGGGUGCGUAACGCGUGGGAAUCUGCCCUUUGGUUCGGAAUAACAGUUAGAAAUGACUGCUAAUACCGGAUGAUGACGUAAGUCCAAAGAUUUAUCGCCAGAGGAUGAGCCCGCGUAGGAUUAGCUAGUUGGUGUGGUAAAGGCGCACCAAGGCGACGAUCCUUAGCUGGUCUGAGAGGAUGACCAGCCACACUGGGACUGAGACACGGCCCAGACUCCUACGGGAGGCAGCAGUGGGGAAUAUUGGACAAUGGGCGCAAGCCUGAUCCAGCAAUGCCGCGUGAGUGAUGAAGGCCUUAGGGUUGUAAAGCUCUUUUACCCGAGAUGAUAAUGACAGUAUCGGGAGAAUAAGCCCCGGCUAACUCCGUGCCAGCCGCCGCGGUAACAC